AUUGAACGCUGGCGGCAUGCUUUACACAUGCAAGUCGAACGGCAGCGGGGGCUUCGGCCUGCCGGCGAGUGGCGAACGGGUGAGUAAUGCAUCGGAACGUGCCCAGUCAUGGGGGAUAACUACGCGAAAGCGUAGCUAAUACCGCAUACGCCCUGAGGGGGAAAGUGGGGGAUCUUCGGACCUCACGUGAUUGGAGCGGCCGAUGUCAGAUUAGCUAGUUGGUGAGGUAAAGGCUCACCAAGGCGACGAUCUGUAGCGGGUCUGAGAGGAUGAUCCGCCACACUGGGACUGAGACACGGCCCAGACUCCUACGGGAGGCAGCAGUAGGGAAUUUUCGGCAAUGGGGGAAACCCUGACCGAGCAAUGCCGCGUGAACGAUGAAGGUCUUCGGAUUGUAAAGUUCUGUGAUUGGGGAAGAAUGGUAUUCUUAGGGAAUGAGGAGUACAUGACGGUACCCGAUUAGAAAGCCCGGCUAACUAUGUGCCAGCAGCCGA
rnacentral:rRNA from 1 species